rnacentral:rRNA from 1 species
UACGGAGGGUGCAAGCGUUAUCCGGAUUCACUGGGUUUAAAGGGUGCGUAGGAGGGCAGGUAAGUCAGUGGUGAAAUCUCCAAGCUUAACUUGGAAACUGCCGUUGAUACUAUCUGUCUUGAAUAUUGUGGAGGUGAGCGGAAUAUGUCAUGUAGCGGUGAAAUGCUUAGAUAUGACAUAGGACACCAAUUGCGAAGGCAGCUCGCUACUCAAUUAUUGACUCUGAGGCACGAAAGCGUGGGGAUCAAACAGG